UACGAAGGGGGCUAGCGUUGCUCGGAAUCACUGGGCGUAAAGCGCACGUAGGCGGACUCUUAAGUCGGUGGUGAAAUCCUGGAGCUCAACUCCAGAACUGCCUUUGAUACUGAGAAGCUGGAGUCCGGGAGAGGUGAGUGGAACUGCGAGUGUAGAGGUGAAAUUCGUAGAUAUUCGCAAGAACACCAGUGGCGAAGGCGGCUCACUGGCCCGGUACUGACGCUGAGGUGCGAAAGCGUGGGGAGCAAACAGG
rnacentral:rRNA from 1 species